rnacentral:snRNA from 1 species
AUAUUUACCUGGCAGGUAAAAUACCAUCAUCACGAAGGUGGCUUUCCCAGAGUGAGGCUUAUUCAUUGCACUCUGGAUGUGCUGAUGAUUGCAAUUUCCUCAAAUAUGGAAAACUCAACUGCAUAAUCUUUGGUAGUGAAGGACUGUGUUCACACUCUUCCC